GGAGCGUAUAGCGAUAUAUACUUGUUUAACAGAAGUCAGCCGAGGCCAUAGUAGCUAUAAAAAAAAUAGGGAAGGGC
rnacentral:ncRNA from 1 species